rnacentral:rRNA from 1 species
GACGAACGCUGGCGGCGUGCCUAACACAUGCAAGUCGAGCGGAGGUAUACAAGGAGUAAUCUGAGUUUACCUUAGCGGCGGACGGGUGAGUAACGCGUGAGCAACCUGCCUUUCACAGGGGGAUAAGGCGGCGAAUGCCGCUCUAAUACCGCAUGAGACCACGGUGAUGAUAUUACAGGGGUCAAAGGAGCAAUCCGGUGAAAGAUGGGCUCGCGUCCGAUUAGGUAGUGGGUGGGGUAGAGGCUCACCAAGCCAAUGAUCGGUAGCCGGCCUGAGAGGGUGAACGGCCACAUUGGAACUGAGAGACGGUCCAAACUCCUACGGGAGGCAGCAGUGGGGAAUAUUGGGCAAUGGGCGAAAGCCUGACCCAGCAACGCCGCGUGAAGGAAGAAGGUUUUCGGAUUGUAAACUUCUGUUCUUGGGGAAGAGAAGAAGACGGUACCCAAGGAGGAAGCCCCGGCUAACUACGUGCCAGCCGCCGCCGUAA